rnacentral:rRNA from 1 species
UACGAAGGGGGGCUAGCGUUGUUCGGAAUCACUGGGCGUAAAGCGCACGUAGGCGGCUUACUAAGUCAGGGGUGAAAUCCUGGAGCUCAACUCCAGAACUGCCUUUGAUACUGGUGAGCUUGAGUCCGGAAGAGGUGAGUGGAACUGCGAGUGUAGAGGUGAAAUUCGUAGAUAUUCGCAAGAACACCAGUGGCGAAGGCGGCUCACUGGUCCGGUACUGACGCUGAGGUGCGAAAGCGUGGGGAGCAAACAGG